GCAGAUCCAAUCUCAUCUUCCCCAAUCGCCUCUCUCAGUAUAAUCUCACAUUGCAACACCUGUAUCAAUUCACGCACACACACACAAACAACAAACACUCAGUAAUAAGAAAUGAUAGCAUCUGUUAUUAAGAAACCCAACUUAAAUACCUACGCUGUUGCUCUCUUACUUCUCCUCUCGCUCAUCUAUCUCCUCUCCCUGUCUUCCCCAUACUUCGAUUCUUCGUUUAAUUCGUUCAGGUAAUUAGUUGUCAUUGAUAGAUUAAUUGUAUAGUAAGUAGCUGCUUUUUGAAUUGAUUGUUAAUGAUUUACUGAAUUGCUUAAUUAAUUAAGAUGUUUAAUUAUUGUUUUAGGUUUAGUUCCACAAGCACCGGAAAUUCUAUAUGGAGUGUUAGAAGGUUUAUAGAAUGGAGACCUUGUGAUUGGUGGAUUCGAGGCCACUUGAAUGGUUAGUUUUGUUUUCUGUCUUUAUGUUUAUUGUUGUUCCGAUACGUAUAAAGAUGCGGGAUAAGGUUGAAAAUGCUGACAGAUGUAAAAGGAAAUUAGUGUUGUAUAGAAUAUAUUGAAAUUGAUAAUAUUAGCAAAUGAGGUGGAGAGAUGAGAACAGGCUCUGUAUCUGGUAUUUCUGAGUCUAUAUUGGAUGACUUUCGAUGCAGACAACUGCAUUUGGUUUUAUGUGUUGAAAUGCUAAAGCUCUUCCAGAAGAGAGCAAUGGUUAUAUUCGAGUGGAUUGUUAUGGCGGACUUAAUCAAAUGAGGCGGGAUGUAAGUAGCCGUCAUCAUUGGCUUUUCCUGUUUUUCCUAAAUCCUAAUUAUUUUAAUUUUCAUUCUGUGACUGCUUUAUGAUGUGAUUUCUAGUUAUGCGAUGGUGUUGGGAUUGCUCGUUUGUUAAAUGCAACUCUUGUAUUGCCAAAAUUUGAAGUGGCAGCUUAUUGGAAUAAGAUGUUUAACCACUGAAGUAUAAAAUGGAUUCUAUAUCAGCAAAAAUUAAAUAUCAUAAUUCAUACCAACCAAAGUGACAUUGUUCAGUAGCAUUAAUAUGAUCCUAAAACAGAAACUCAGAUCGAACCACAUGAUAACAAAUUCAUGUACAACAUAAAUAAAUAUUUUGCACUACUAAAUAUAAAAGAAAACUAGUCAGCUUGCCAGGCCUUGUUUUGCUUUCUCUUGGCAGCCUCUAACUUCCUUAAAGAUGUGAAUUCCCGACCAUUUUUGUCGACAAAUUCUUCGUACUCCACUUUUACUGGUCCAGUCCUGGUGGGGGGCCUGAAUUGCUUGAUGAUUCCUCCAUGUGUGCGAGAAACAUUAUUUUCAGAUGGUUUUUGCAGCACGACAGGGCCUCACUUCAAAGAGCUUGAAUUUUUAGUGAUUUCAGCAGAACUUUUCACUCGUUUUGGAGUAGUUUGGCAAGUUUCUUGUUGCUUCUCAACUACAUCUUUCUGUUGCAGACCUUCUUUCAUCUAAGUUUGUAUAUCAUGUUUCUAAAAUCAAACCCAAAUUACAAUUAGACUAAACAAUAUUAUUAUGGUACUUUAAUACCUUAUAAUUGAAGCAGGAAUCCGCAUACCUUAGCUUUGCACGAUCUUGCAUUAUGACCAUCUUCCUUACAGUAGGAGCAUUUGUUAAACUUAACACUCUUUGGAAGCACAGAAUCCAGGUCAUUUCCACCUUCAUUUUCUUCUGCCCUCUAUAUAACAAAAAAAUACAAUGUAACAUCAUGUACAUUCAAAUAAAAUAUUUAAUGUGUUAUUCUUUCUAACCUUUGUCUGGCAGUUUCUCAUAUUAUGACCCCAUUGCUUACAAAUUGAACACUGUAGUGAUGUUCCCUUUCUUUUGAGCAUGGUUGGAUUAUCAGCUCUUGCCUCAACUACAUCAUUUCUUUUAUCUCUGUUUUUUUUAGGUCGGCCAGGUGCAAUUUUUUUGACCGGAGGCAGUGGUGAUUCUUGUUCUGUUACAUCCCAUUGCUCUUCUCCAUUGAUUGGCUCUAACAAGUGACUAUAAACUUCUAAGUAUAUAUCUUUCUUGUGACACUCAUGAAUAAAAUCAACUGGAUCCAACUUUUGGAAGAAAAUGCAUGCAACUGCGUGAAAGCAUGGCACUCCAGUUAAUUGCCACUUUUUACAUGCAGAGCUUCUUUGUUUUAAGUCAACUACAACUUCAUGACCUCCAAUUAUAAUACUUCAAGAUAUUCCGUAUAAACUGUAUUAAACUCACCCCCGAAAAGUACUUCAACUGAGAAAUACAUCGAACCAUCUGCAAAUUAUAAUAUAAAAACACACAUUAUUUAAAUAUUAUAUGGUUGAACAAAAUAUUGAAUAUAGACUGUGGACACACGAUUACAAAGAUCCGAACUAUUAUAGUUUAUCAUAUAAUAUACAUAGUAAAAGACAUCAAUAGAUGGACCAUAACUUGAAGUACUAAAGCCUACUUUUUUAAUAGCAUGCAAACACUGUAGAAAUCUAAUAACUUCAACUAUAUACCUUCGUAAUCAGGAAUAAGUGAGUCUUGAGUAUCCCGACCUUCAAUUUUCUUAGCUUUAAUCCCUGAUUUAUCUUCAUUACGUUCACGUAUAAUCCUUAAUCUGCCUCUCAUUACAUAACACUGUAAAGAUUAGGUAUAAUGAAUUGAUGAUGUGGAAAGAUUGUAUUUUAGUGUUUGGAAAAUUAGGUUGAAGUUUGGGAGACUGAUGUCAAAACAUGGCAUAUCAAUUUUUUAUUAAUUACCCAAAAUACUUUCCUUUUUUAAUGUUAACAGAGUAAACAAACGGAGUUAGUGAAUGGGUCCAAGUUCUGGUUUUUAAAAAUGUUGUGGGAUGUGUUCUGUUUUAUAAAAAAAUACUAGUGAAAAAAACCGCGUCGCGGCGGCGGCAUGAAUUUUUUUAAAUUCUAAUAUGAAUUAAUAUUAUAAUUAUAUAAAAAUUAUUUUGUGUCAUAUUCCCGUUAAACAUAUCAUUAAUAAAAAAUAUUAUAAUUAAUAUAAAAAUUUGUUUAGCGUCAUGAAUUGUUUUUAAAUUCUAAUAUGAAUUAAUAUUAUAAUUGUAUAAAAAUUAUUUUGAGUCAUCUUCCCGUUAAACAUAUCAUUAAUAAAAAAAAUAUUAUAACUAAUAUAAAAAUUUGUUUAAAUGGCCCUCAUUUAAUAUUCUAUUAAACUAUCAUGAAUCUUUGGAUGUAUGAUAUAUUAAGGUGUAUUAUCGUAGAAUUUGUUUGCUUCAUAAAAGCCAUUUGAUAUAAGAUGUGAUUACUUAGCGGCGGCGUGUAAUAUCUAUUCAUAAAUUAUUAUGAAAUAGAAUAAUAUAUGAAACUUGUAAUAUUUGUGUCAUAAAAUUGGAAAAAUUAGAGAAAAGAUGAAUGUAGUGUAAAAUAAACUAUCUACUAUUAAAACAAAUAACCAGUUAUGAUCUCAAAUUGUAUGAUUGCGAGAAGGUAAUGUUUUUCUAUCUAAAUAUUAGACUCAAAGAUAGCCUUGCCGAGAACAAUGGUUGAAUUCUAAUCUUCUUCUCCAUUUUCAUUAUCAUCUUCGUCAUCCAACAUCACUAUCUUCCUCUUUUUCUUAACAUUGACAAUAAGUUUCAAAUGGUCAUCUAAGACUCCGCCUUCCGGGUUUUUAGAGGCACUUUCCUCUUCGUCAUCUACCAUGCUUGAUUUCCUUUUCCCACAUUUGCGAGAAGUUUGCAUUCCAUCAUUGUAUGUUUGCAUUCCAUCAUUGUAUGUGAGUUUGUCUUUGACAUUGGCACGUAUCUAAUCCACCUAUAUUAAAUUGUGUUAGAACAAACAAUAACAUGCAUGUCAAUAUCGGGAUGAAGAUCUUGUCAUUAUGUAGUUAUUAAUUGAGAACAUACUUUGAGGGCCUUCUUUGACUCAUAUUUAUGUUCCAAACACUUCCUUGGUUCGUAUAUAAUUUCCGGGACAUUUAGAGAUUAGAAGCAGAGUAGGAAUAGGUGGUGAAUUUAGACACGGUUUGCUGCAAACUUAUGUCUCCUCAUCUCAGCACGGUCAUUUCUUAACUUGAGUCAUAUUCAUUGAAUAAUUAACAUUAGAAUUUCACAAAUAUUAUCUUAUUUAGAUACUAAUAUACAACAUUAUAAUUUAGAUAUUAGUUUGAAUCUACUUACUGUCAAACGCAAUACGAAUAAAAAUUAUUCUAAUUAUGAUAAAAUUAAAAAUUAUAAUUGGACAAAAAUUAUUUUGAACCCGUGAUACCGUUUCAACAAAAAAAUAUAUUAUAGCAUAGAUAAAAAAUUAUUUUAGCCACUUUCUCGUCAAACAUAAUACUAAUAGAAAAUUUAUUAUUAUUUAGAUAAAAAUUAGUUUUGGCCGCCUCCCGUGCCCGUCAAACACAAUACUAAUCAAGAAUCAUUUACAUUAUCAUAAAAUCAAUAUAUGAUUCCUUAUUUUAUUAUUUAUUUUUACUUUAUGAUUUCUAUUUAUUAUAUAAAAAUUAUUAUUAUUUUAUGGUUCUAAUGUUUUUGCUAUUAGUUUUUUUUAAUGAUUAUUAUCUUUACAAUCCUUUACUUUCUAUUCGAAAUUUAAGAAAAUUAUAAGACUAAAUCGAAAUAGAAAUUGUACGCAUUACCUUACAAAUCUUAAAUAUAAAUUGUAUUUUAUCUAUGAUUGUUAGUUUAAACAAAUAUAAAAAUUAUUCUAAUUAUGAUAAAAUUAAAGAUUAUAAUUGGAUAAAAAUUAUUUUGAAGUGUGGUCCCGUUUUAACAAAAAAUUAUUAUGACAUAGAUAAAAAAAUUAUUUUAGCCACUUUAUCGUCAAACAUAAUAUUAAUAGAAAAAUUAUUAUUAUAUAGAUAAAAAUUAGUUUGGGCCGCCUUCUGUGCCCGUCAAACACAAUACUAAUCAAGAAUCAUUUACAUUAUCAUAAAAUCAAUAUAUGAUUCCAAUUUUAUAUAUCCUAUUUUAUUUGUUAGUUAUUUUUAUUUUAUGAUUCCUAUUUAUUAGUUAAGAAUUAUUAUUCUUUUAUGGUUCUAAUUUUUUAGCUAUUAGUUUUUUUUAAUGAUUAUUACCUUUACAAUCCUUUAUUUUCUAUUCAAAAUUUUAAAAAAUUAUAAGACUAAAUCGAAAAUAAAAAUUGUACAUAUCACCUUACAAAUCUUAAAUAUAAAUUUUAUUUUAUCUAUGAUGGUUAAUAUAAAUAAAUAUAAUCCUAUUAAUUUUAGGAUUCCUAAAUAAGAAAAAAUUGUAUUACCUUUAGAAUCCAAAAAGAAAAGAAUUGUAUUAACUUUUGGAAUCCUUGAACUUGAUUUUUUUAAAUUAUAAUUAUAUUUUCUAUCCGAAAUUUAAGAAAAUUAUAAGAAAAGAAUUUUAUUAUUUUUAGAAUCCAAUAAAAAAAGAAUUGUAGUAGUUUUAAGACUCUCUACUUGCAUAAGACCAGACUGACUGCACUCUCUUGGGAGGACAUGCAAGCACGACUCUCUGUCUUGUAUGUUAGUUCUGGGAGCGUUGUAGCUAUUGAUAAGAGUGAAUUUUCUGAAAUGGCCUGGGGCUUGGUAAUUAGUAAGCAAAAAUUCUUGUGGGUGGUCCGAACCGGAGUCAUUGAGACACCCUGCAUCCUUACAACUAUAAAUUUUAUAAUCUUUUAAAAUAAGAAUUGUACUUCAUUAAUAAUUUGUAUAUUAAUGUAUAAAUAAAAAAUAAGAAUUGUAUUAUCUUUAUGAUUCCUAAAUAUCAAGAUUCUAGAAUAUUAUCUUUAGAAUCCAAUAAGAAAAGAAUUGUAUUAUCUUGGAUGCAAAGUGCAAAUCACUCUAAAAUCUAUGAAUUAAAAGAUAUAAACAUUGUGAGGAAAUUAUGAAACACUACGAGGUGUAGAUUUUUCAAUACUAUAAACACAAAGACAUAACUAUAACCCCAUAAAAAAAUGAAAUUCAAAAUAUAAUUUUACAUGAAUCAAAAAAUUACGGGGUCUAUUCGAUUGAGAUUUUAAUGGAUUAUUCUUAGUCUAUGGAUUUUAAUAGAUUGCAUGUGAUUUUGAUUUUGUGCGGAUUCUUGAUAAAAUGUCGCAGAGUUGAUAGGAUUUAAGCAUAAUAUUUCAAAAUCCCAUUGAUUUUGGUGGGAUUUCAAAAUACUUAAAAUACACCAAAGAAUAUCACAAAAUCCAUCAUUUUAUGAAAUCCAAAAAAAUCCAUUAGCAUUUGAAUACCAUCAGAUGUUAAUGGAUUUUAAACAAUCUUAAUUGAAUACCAUCGGAUUUUAAAGCAUAAUUUAAAAUCCCAAUUGAAUAUCUCAAGAUUUUAAUUGAUUUCAAACAAUUCCAAUCGAAUGCCCUCGGAUUUCAUGAAUGCAAAAAAAAAAUGCUUUAAAAUCUCAAUCCAAUACACCUCUCUUAGUUUGACUUUUUAUACAUACUAGCCUUUAACCCGUGCGAAGCACGGACGGGUAUAGAAUUUGUAAUUUAUUAAUUAUAAUUUAAAUUUUAACAUCAUCUUAUUAGUAUUUUAGAAUUGAUGAAUUGGAUUUUAAUCAGAUUACAUUUACCAACUGAUUAUAUUUUUUGGACGACUACAAAUUAUACCAAUGUUGGUUUAUUAUAAUAUAGUAUAUAAAUUAUAUUUAAAAGAAUAAUGGUGGAGUUUUUAUCUUGUACUACGUCUCAAGUGUUUGUAAUUUAUACGAUAUAAAACUCCUUAAUGGUGGAGUUUUUAUCUUGUACUACAUCUCAAGUGUUUGUAAUUUAAACGGUAUAAAACUCUUUAAUAUUGUAAGAGUAAGAGAAGUUUAUAUGUGACAGACUUGUAGUUACAAAGCAAAUGACCAAACUAAAAUUUUGUACGACUACAAAUUAUACCUAUGUUGGCUUAUUAUAGUAUAAAUAAUAAUAUAGAUUUUAGGGUGUUUGAAAUACAUGAUUUUUUUUUUCAUUUUCUAAAUUUGAAUUAAAAUUUAAUAAUCAUAUUUUUAUUAAAAAGUAACUUUAAAAAUAAAAUAUGAAAAUACGAUUUUCACCCGCUUCUAAUACUAUUUUUUUUUGACAAAACAGGAGAAUAGCAAUCCUAUCACAAAUCAAACUUUGAAUUUGAAGUAAAUCCGAAAAGCGAUCGGGUAGAGUCCGAAUGGGAGUUUAUAUAAGACACUCGAUCGAUCAAAAGAAAUUGUUUACACUGAAGUCUGAAACCUCAAAAUCCAAUGGGCGAACCCGAAUUAAAUUUCAACCUCCCGUCCGGUGAGAUGGAAAGGCGCGAGGAAGUCGCAGCUGAUGAGCUCAUACCACAAUCUACUGUCAUCAUCAGAACAUCUUGUUCCUCUCGAAGGAGUCUCAACAACGUUGAUGUAAGUUUCUAAUCUCUCUUUUAAUUACAUAUUCAAUUCUUCAUUAGUUUGAUAAUCUCAGUAUACUAUCUUCUAGGUGACCUGUUAAUUGUUUUUCUGCAAUGGAUUAACAUUCUGAAGGCAGCGAUUUAGACACCUUGUGGCAUAGAAAACUCGAGAAAAGCACAACAGCAAUUAGAUGAUUCAGGGAUAUGUACGAUAUAAAUAAGAUUGUGCGAGAUUAAUCUCUCUCCUUAUUAUGAAGACAUUUGGUUGGGUGAGCAUAAGUACUUCUUGCUUCAAGUAAAAAAAGUGAAGUAGAAGUUUGAAGUUAGUUAAUACUUAUAAGUGAUUAAUGUGUUUGGGAAAAAAAAGUAUAUUCAUGAAACAAAAGUUAGGAAUCCUAACUUUUGAUAAGUGCUUCUCGACGCAAACGAUACGAAUAAGUGGUUCUAACUUAAAACUGUUUUACUCACCCAAACACCCACUAUGUAUGAAUAAGUUGUAGAAUAUUCAAAUUCAAAUUCUUUGAUAUAUUUAUAGAGAGAGGACCAUCUAGCAAUUUGAUAUAUUCAAAUUAGAUCACUAACGACGUUGACUUAAGGAAAAAAAUCAAUCUAAGUAAGAUGGAUAUUAUCUCUGCUUAUUUAACCUUGAGUGAGUUGUGACAUUAACCCCCUCUGUUGUGUUGUCCAUAUGCAGACUUCAAAUAUACGCAGAACUUGGCCAAAUGGUUUCUCACUUAUACGAUGGGCUCAUUACGAGAGAUUGAUGGGUGGACCGCGGGACCCUGAAGCUGCAGCUGAAAAACUAUGGAGGAAACGUGAAAAGCGGCUCAGACGAGCUCAGUUGGAGUCUGUCUAACAAGGAUGCUCCAACAAAAAAUUGCGAAGGAUUAGAAUAUCAGCACUGCACUUGUAUUGCCUUUCUGCAAUAUCUAGAAACUUCUUUUAUUUGGCAAUAGUGCAUUGGUUGCAAGCUCUGAACUUUCUCUACAGUAUUUGUUAAAGAAUUCAGGGGUGUUUUGACAAGGAUCAUGAAUUGCCUUUUGGCAGUUUGUUUUAGGGUUAUUUAAAUUGAUGUUAUGAUUGACUUUUAUUUUCUUUUUCAGGUUUUAUUUGUUACAGAAAUUUCAAUGCUCACACACCAAUGCCUCUACCUCUACUGAACCUUAGAUUCUUGAUCCCUAUUAUCAUGACUCAUGAGGGUUAUUGGCUAUCUGGUGCGCUUAAGAAAGCCUUGCAUAUAUAUGUUUGACUAGGUUGACAUUAACAGUUCUAAAUUGAUGAUAUUAAUAGUGUAGUUGAUUGUUUGACUUUGUUGAUGACUUGUGUUAAUGGCUUUUGAUGCUAAUUUUAAAUUUUAAAUUUUUAUUGUUGCUGAUGUAUGCUUGGAAACUGGUAAUCGUACACAUGAUCUCUUGUAUCAGACCUAUGUGUGAAUGCAACUGGGUUUUGGUAGCCUGUAUAUGUGAUUGGCUUUUUGGUGAUUCUGUUGAGAAAGGAAAAUAAGCAUUUGAUAUGGAGGAUACAUUAAGGAUCUGAUGAAUAAAAGUAUGUUGGAUUCUGGUGCUACAGCUCUGUGUUGAAGAAGGAUAACAUUUGACCGCCUUAUCAAUGCAAGAAAUGGGACUCUUAAAUGUAAUAGGCAUUUGUAGCCAUCUUUGGUCUAGAAAUUUUGUGAAUUUGCCUAAUUCACAUCUUACCCAUUUAAUUAACUUGGUUCACAUCCCACGCUAUUAUAACACCUCAGCUGAUAGGCUAGCCAAGGAGGGUGCAGUUAGAGAGAAACUAUUAGCUGCAUGGUUGGGUUGACUUUUGCUGGUUUAAUUGCUAAGUUGGUUUUCUCUUCCAUAAUCAUGGUGCAGAUGUCUAGUUUCUUUUCUAUUUAUGAUCCUUUUUCUCUGAGCAAGUUUAAGGCUAGGUCAAGCUAUUGGUAAUGAUGGUGCAAUGCUUGUUAAUGCUGGUGUGAAUAUGCAAGUACCUAAUGGUGCAGUGCAUGCUAUCGGUGUUGCUCUCAAUGAAGGUAAUGAGGAGUGCUUUGGCUGAUCUUGUCUGCUUUCUCUCCCAGAUGCCGUAGGUUUUUCCCUUGCAGUUGUAGUUAUAUGUGUGUUUUGCUAGUUUUUCGUUUCUAGGUCUUUUUCCGUAGUUUCUAGUUCCAGUUCCUAGUUUGGGUAGGUCGCAUGUUUUAAUUCUGAGCUCUGACUUGAGUCCUCUAGUUGUAUUGCUUUCUCCUUCCUCAGUUUGGAGUAUUAAUAAAAUCGUGCUUAUCUAAAAAAAAAAAAAACUCUUUCUGUAUGAGCUUAAUAUUGAGGAUAAUUAUUUUAAUUUUGUAUCCCAUCCUGAUAGGAUAUCUGUUCCACAUAACCUCUUGCUAGAGAUUGAGAAGGUCUCUGUCCGUGUCGGACUGGUGAGUGCUCAUUUGACAUUUGUUCUUUACCUUUGUCGUUGCUGUUCAAACCUCUCUAUCAUUUUUUUGUUAGCUAUAGUCUUGUUGAUGUAUAUUUCAGCAUAUUCAGAUAAAGGAUAUGAAUCCAACAAGGAAAAAAUAUGCAGAAAAAGGAUACGACUCCAAUUCACCUGCAAGGAGGUUUUUUGCUGUAGUAGAAAAACAAUGAUACUGAAUUGGAAAAGAAAAAAAAUUUUAACAUGAGAAAAGGAAGAAAGGAAAAUGGCAUAGUUGCAAUAACAAAGACUUGUGAGAGGACAUAAAUUGAAUCGAAUAAGAAAAUUGUGCACUGGAAUUGCAAGAAACGAUAGUUGAAGAUACACAUAUGAUCUAUCAUUCUUUCCGGGAGUCUUUCCAAAAAUAUUUUAUCUGAGUUGUGUGCUUAUGAAACUGAGAGCUUUGAAAGGGAUGGUGACUUUUAUGAGGCAAGCAAAAAAAAUAAGGAGGCUUAAUGCGCUUUUAACCCUCAAUAUUUUGGGGUUAUGUAUCAAUACGACCUUAAUGUUUUAACUCGGUCGAUUCAAACCUCAAAGUAUCCGUCAUGUACCGACUAAGCCUCAAAUCGGGAUAAAGUGAUAACACAGUACAUAAUUGAAGGGCAAACUUAACAUUUCACAAUCAUUUAUCCCGAUAAUGGUAUGAGGGUUAAAUCGGUAAAAUAUCGAGGGCUAACUGGUGCACCCCCAAACACUUUAAUGGUUAAAAGGGCUAGCAAGUUAUAGUAUCUGAAUUUAUUUCUGAUUUUUUGUGGUGGAUAAAAGUUACUUUAUCAUAAAACCAUAAGAUAUGUAGCCAACAUGCAGGUUGGUGACAUGAAACUGAAAUCAAGAUUGCCAACAUGAAGGUUUGCACAACUAGUAUUUUGAGUGUGACUUAGAAAAAUUGUUGUAGUUAAUUAAAAGGUGAAUUAAAUAAUAAACCAUUUUUCCUCUGAAAAUUCAUGACCAAGUCCCAAUUUUUUAGCUGAGCUUGUCAAUUCAAGAGUCAACAAGACCAUAUAAAUACUCAAGAAUUCUCGUAAAAAUGUCAAACCCCAUUGGUGUGUUCCCUUUCUUAUUUGACACCUCAUUCAAUACAUUUUUGAAGAAUCCAAAAAAAAAAAAUCGAUUGUGUAUAUAAAGGGUAUUCAAGGGAGAAAAGAAAGAAUCAGAAGCGUAUUUAGUAAGAUUGAACUAUUCAUUUCAUCGUAUGACACAACAUGAGUUGCGAUGAUCCCUUCUCCUCAUUAUUCUCAGGCUCAUUGCUUCCCCAAUUGUGUGGAUUGAAUAUUAAGUAGCCAACUAAAUGAUGGCUUACGGGGUCUUCCUCAUUAAUAUAUACGAUGCCUAAAAGUUGAUCUUUCAUCUACAUUGGCAUGUGUUCAUGCACUAAAGCGAUAGGACGUGGGUGAAAAACAUAUCAAUAGAGAUGUGUAUUUAAUUGAUUUUAUUGUAUAUAUUGCUAGUCCACUAUCUUCAAUUUGUGUUAAAGACGGGGUUCGUUUUGAAGGUGCACAUUUUAUUGAGUUGAGUUUCGUUCUACUACUCAUGAAAGUCAACAUGCACCAACAGUAUUCGUUAUGUGCCGAGUAACCCUCAUACCGGGAUAACUAGUUAUGAAUUGUCAAAUUUGCCCUUCCGUUAUGUAACACUUUUUGCCUCCAUCCUGGCAUGAUGGCUAAUCUGAACAUAACGGAGACUUGAUAUAUCGAGUUAAAACAUUAAGACCGUAUUAGUAUACACCCUCAAACAUUUAAUAUUUAAAGGACAUUAAACGAAAUAAAAUAAAAUUACCCAGCAAUUUUGGUAUAAUCGUUGGAAAGACGUAAGAAGGCUUGUAUCAAUGUCAUUGAUUACAGCUCACGACGACAAUACUUUCAUGAUUUAAAAUUUUCUCUCUUAGCUCGUCAUGUACGGACUGUUUUAACAAGCAUAUUGCGUACUAUGUCAACUUACUUCGUUAUUUUCCCGCAUACCAUCCCAAGCACCAGAUAUAACAGCUUCGGGACUUUAUUAUUUUUGACAAUACAAAAUCAUGAAUUUAACAACAUAAAAAAACCUCAACGCGCUGAUUAUAAUUUCCAAGUUUGAUUUUAGUUGAGAGUUAAAGACUAUGCAAUUUUUGUACCGGAGUCAUCACAUUUCAAAUUAUUUUGUAGAAUCAACGGUAAAAUAAAUUCCUAAAUUUCUUGUUACUUGCUAUAACUAUUAUUUACUACUAUAUACAAACCGAAAUACCAGAUAAGUAAAAACAUUGUUUAACACAUUAACAAGAUUUUAUAGAGCAAACACUACCGCAAUAUUGUCAAAUCCUUUACCAUCUCCUUGAGAACCUCAACCGGUUCAAUUAUAGUCUUCAAAACAAUUUCAUAUCAGUAAGACUAAGAUUAAGGAAGGGUUCAACCAGAGGCGGAUCUUGAUAGGGGCAAGAGGGGUCAGUCGACCCCCUUAAAUUUUUGUCCUUAAUUUUACAUAAUGUCGUACAACGGUAAAAAAUUACAUAAUCUGAAUAUUAAUUUUUUAUUUUCUAUGUUAUCAUGUUGGUAUCCACCAUUUUAAUCAAAGUGGACAUGUCUUAUUUAUUUUGUUAAACGGUAAAAAAUUAUAUAAUUUGAAUAUUAUUCUUUUUCCUGUGUUUAUUCCUAUUAAUCAUCAUUACAAAAUAUUAUAUGCGAUCUCCUUAUUUUCGGAGCUGGAUUCACCACGGGUUCAACAAUCACCAUUUUUUGGGAAAGUCUAAUGUCACUUCAUCAUCCAUUACUUACAAAGAUGUAGUCCUCUUACACUCUUUAUAACUCUUCUUAAUAUGGAUUGAAACUUAUCUAAAAAUAGUAUUGAUUCUUAGGAAUUGAGACAAUAAUUACAACAAUAUCACUCUUAGUUAGUUCCAAAGAUGCAGGAUGGAAUUUGGCCAACACUUAAGUCUGAAAUUAUCAUUAAAAAAAAUCAUGAUGGAAUCGACUAACUAUUUCACCAAGAUGAUAUCUACUGACCACCUCAAGACAGUCUUGCUCUUGUUUAAGUGCACCUUUAUCAUUCUUACAAACUAUUAAGAUGUUGGAUUCAAUAACACCGCCAAAGUAAUUAAGGAUAGUAAUAGUUGUGGACCAGUUGCACAUUAACAAUUCAAUUCCUCGAUAGCAAAAUUCUCUUGCCGAAAACAAUACAAGAUAUAUUGAAAUUAAUAAGCUUUAUUUUCGUUUAAAACAAAUAUCCACAAUGGGAGAGGUAGAAAAAACUUGUAGACGUUAAACACAUCAAACUUGGAAUUUAUCAAAAAAGUUGACAGGAAAAAUUUCUUGGUAUGACCCCUAUAACAACAAUAGUAUUUUCAUGAGUUUCUACAUAUAAGCAAGUAAACAUUCCACUAUAUUCACGUAAAAAUUUUAGUUCAUGAUUACCAUCUCCAUGAAACAUCAUAUAUAUAGUUUUAUUUUAUUAUCUACACUAACGAGGAGUUUCCCAUAAAUUAAAGGCAUUCAGGGACCCAACUCACAUGUUGAUUUGUGUCUCUGCAACAAAACAGUAUUCCAUGUUGAACCAAAAGCACCAUAACUCUUUCCUACAAUUUUUUGAUAAAUAUCUAUCGUUUAAGAAUUUAAAGCAAUAAGAUCAAUAAAAUUAUGCAACAAAGUUCACAGAACAAGAAAUUUUUUUGAGUAUGAUAAUAAUUCAUAUACAAACAAGAAAUUUUUUUGAGUAUGAUAAUAAUUCAUAUACAAAUACAUAUCCGAUUAUAUUCAUCGAUUAAAACCCAGAUAUCUGUGAUUGAAUCGCAGGGUCGUGUUCCACUUAGAACAAUUAGUAUUAUUUCUGAUACUAAUUAGGAUUUGAACACGAACAACGAUGCAAAACACAUGUAUUUAGACUUAGAUACUGAAAAUCUAAUAAAAAUUUAAGGCUCUGCAACAGAACCUUAAUGGUUCUAAGGUUCUAUUUUAAGGAUUGGUUCCCCCUUGAGCGCGACCCUGAUAUAAUAUCGGUUUUUCUAGUGUGUGCCCAUGGGCACAUGCUAAGCGCGGAGUUUUAUAAAUUUGGGAGGUUUUGAUUGACUUUUGCAUGUUAAUAAUGGUGGACCCCCCUGCAAAUGCAACAACCACACCAAUCAAAACCUCCCAAACUUAUAAAAUUCCACUUUUAGCAUGUGCCCAUGGGCACACACUAGACAAACUCAUAUAAUAUUAUAACAAAAAUGAUAAUAGCUGGUUGUAAAACAGAGAUUUAAUUCGCAUUAUGUGAUUUAUAAUAUCUUUUAAAAUACCGGGAUGAAGUUAAAUAUACAUGAAAAGUGAAAACAGAUACUAAAUGUUUCAGAUCAUAUACGGAUUUUAAAUUAAGCACGCAUAAUUAAAAACGGAUCGGAUACAGAUUUGAUCUCUAAGUACACUAAACAUGAAAAUACAUGACACGACAUGACUGAGAGCAUUAGUUUUUAAAAUUCAUUUUAUAAUAUUAUUUAUUUAUUAAAAAUAAAUAAAAUUUAUAAUAUAAGAAGAUAGUUUAAAUAAAGAAUGAAAUAUGUUUUGUAUGAGAAACAACGGGAAAGCAAUUUUGUGGGAAAAAGUGUGUUUAUUGAGAAGGACUCUCAUUAGAUUACAAUAUUAAUAAUGAAAUUUAAUAUUUUCGAUGAAUUUGAUUUGAUUAGAUUCAACUCUAAUAUCAGUUUUUUUGUUUAUAUCAAAUAAAAAUUAACUAAAAACAUAUAUAAAAUAUUAAAAUAAAAUAUUUCUUCAUAUAAGAGCGAAAUUUAUAAUACAUAUUUGUAACUAAUUAUAUAAUAUAAUAUGAUGUUUUUUUUUGAAAUAAUAAUAUAAUAUGAUGUUAGUUUAUUUGUGUAUAUAAUUGAAAAAUAUAUGGCGCAAAAUGUGACUUGUUAAUUACUCCCUCCGUCCCUAUUUAUCUGUCCACUUUGGAAGUUAAAAUUUGUCACUAUUUAUCUGUCCAUUAAUACUUUCAAAACUAAUUUAAUGAUAGUUUUUCAAAUAUAUCUUCAUAAUUUCAAUUUUCAAGGCUUGACUUAUUUAAAAUUUGGUUGAAUUUAUGUUUUCAAGACAUAAAGUAGAAGUAUUCCACCAUUUUCAAGAUAUUAAUUAGAGGUAUUUAAUGAAAAAGUUUACACAAUCAAUUAUUCUUUGGUAUGUGUUUUUUUUCCAAAAUGGACAGAUAAAUAGGGACGGAGGGAGUAGUUAACAAUAAAUUACAUUACGAUUAUUGCUCCAAUUAAUUAUGUUGCCAAAGACUGGCUGAUAAAUUAGGCAGCGUCGUCCUGAUUCGCCGAUCCAAUCUCAUCUUCCCCAAUCGCCUCUCUCAGUAUCAAUUCACACACACAAAGAACACACACACAAUAAUAAGAAAUGAUAGCAUCUGUAAUUAAGAAACCCUACUUAAAUACCUACGCUGUUGCUCUCUUACUUCUCCUCUCGCUCAUCUAUCUCCUCUCCCUGUCUUCCCCAUACUUCGAUUCUUCGUUUAAUUCGUUCAGGU
rnacentral:lncRNA from 1 species